CACGCCGUAAACGAUGUCAACUAGCCGUUGGGAGCCUUGAGCUCUUAGUGGCGCAGCUAACGCAUUAAGUUGACCGCCUGGGGAGUACGGCCGCAAGGUUAAAACUCAAAUGAAUUGACGGGGGCCCGCACAAGCGGUGGAGUAUGUGGUUUAAUUCGACGCAACGCGAAGAACCUUACCAAGGCUUGACAUUGAGUGAAAGGCUAAGAGAUUAGCCCCUCUCUUCGGAGACACGAAAACAGGUGG
rnacentral:rRNA from 1 species